rnacentral:rRNA from 1 species
CAGCCGCCACGGUAAUACGGAGGGUGCAAGCGUUAUCCGGAUUUAUUGGGUUUAAAGGGUCCGUAGGCGGAUCUGUAAGUCAGUGGUGAAAUCUCACAGCUUAACUGUGAAACUGCCAUUGAUACUGCAGGUCUUGAGUAAAUUUGAAGUGGCUGGAAUAAGUAGUGUAGCGGUGAAAUGCAUAGAUAUUACUUAGAACACCAAUUGCGAAGGCAGGUCACUAAGAUUUAACUGACGCUGAUGGACGAAAGCGUGGGGAGCGAACAGGAUUAGAUACCCCGGUAGUCCCUGUCUCUUAUAA